GCAAUACGUCAGCGGCAGACGGGUGAGUAACGCGUGGGAACGUACCUUUUGGUUCGGAACAACACAGGGAAACUUGUGCUAAUACCGGAUAAGCCCUUACGGGGAAAGAUUUAUCGCCGAAAGAUCGGCCCGCGUCUGAUUAGCUAGUUGGUGAGGUAACGGCUCACCAAGGCGACGAUCAGUAGCUGGUCUGAGAGGAUGAUCAGCCACAUUGGGACUGAGACACGGCCCAAACUCCUACGGGAGGCAGCAGUGGGGAAUAUUGGACAAUGGGCGCAAGCCUGAUCCAGCCAUGCCGCGUGAGUGAUGAAGGCCCUAGGGUUGUAAAGCUCUUUUGUGCGGGAAGAUAAUGACGGUACCGCAAGAAUAAGCCCCGGCUAACUUCGUGCCAGCAGCCGCGGUAAUACGAAGGGGGCUAGCGUUGCUCGGAAUCACUGGGCGUAAAGGGUGCGUAGGCGGGUCUUUAAGUCAGGGGUGAAAUCCUGGAGCUCAACUCCAGAACUGCCUUUGAUACUGAAGAUCUUGAGUUCGGGAGAGGUGAGUGGAACUGCGAGUGUAGAGGUGAAAUUCGUAGAUAUUCGCAAGAACACCAGUGGCGAAGGCGGCUCACUGGCCCGAUACUGA
rnacentral:rRNA from 1 species